rnacentral:rRNA from 1 species
UGCUAGUCGAACGACCCGGACUAUGGCGGGGAGUGGCAGACUGCUCAGUAACACGUAGCUAACCUACCCUUGGGACGGGUAAAACCCCGGGAAACUGAGGUUAAUACCCGAUAGGUGUGGAUUCCUGGAAUGGUACCACGCCCAAAUGUAAGCGCAUCCAUGUUUGCGUGCGCGCCCGAGGAUGGGGCUGCGGCCGAUCAGGCAGUUGGUGAGGUAACGGCUCACCAAACCUACGACGGGUACGGGCGAUGGGAGUCGGAGCCCGGAGAUGGGGACUGAGACAAGGCCCCAGGCCCUACGGGGCGCAGCAGGCGCGAAAACUCCGCAAUGCGCGCAAGCGUGACGGGGGGAUCCCAAGUGCCGUUGGUCUUUUGAUCGACGGCUUUUCGGAAGUCCAAGAAGCUUCCAGAAUAAGGGCUGGGUAAGACUGGUGCCAGCCGCCGCGGUAACACCAGCAGCCCAAGUGGUGACCACGAUUAUUGGGCCUAAAGCGCUCGUAGCCGGGUCAGCAAGUCCCUUGUGAAAUCGGGCCGCCUAACGGUUCGGCGUGCAAGGGGUACUGUUGGUCUUGAGGCCGGGAGAGGUCGGAGGUACUCCUGGGGUAGCGGUGAAAUGCUCUAAUCCUGGGGGGACCACCAGUGGCGAAGGCGUCCGACCAGAACGGACCUGACGGUGAGGGGCGAAGGCUAGGGGAGCGAACGGGAUUAGAUACCCCGGUAGUCCUAGCUGUAAAGCAUGCGGGCCAGGUGUCUAGUGCUCCUCGAG